CAGCUUGUUGGUGGGGUAACAGCCUACCAAGGCGACGACGGGUAGCCGGCCUGAGAGGGCGACCGGCCACACUGGGACUGAGACACGGCCCAGACUCCUACGGGAGGCAGCAGUGGGGAAUAUUGCACAAUGGGCGCAAGCCUGAUGCAGCAACGCCGCGUGCGGGAUGACGGCCUUCGGGUUGUAAACCGCUUUCAGUAGGGACGAAGCUAACGUGACGGUACCUACAGAAGAAGGACCGGCUAACUACGUGCCAGCAGCCGCGGUGAUACGUAGGGUCCGAGCGUUGUCCGGAAUUAUUGGGCGUAAAGGGCUUGUAGGCGGUCCGUCGCGUCAGGAGUGAAAACUCGGGGCUUAACCCCGAGCCUGCUUUUGAUACGGGCGGACUAGAGGGAUGCAGGGGAGAACGGAAUUCCUGGUGGAGCGGUGGAAUGCGCAGAUAUCAGGAGGAACACCGGUGGCGAAGGCGGUUCUCUGGGCAUCACCUGACGCUGAGAAGCGAAAGCGUGGGGAGCAAACAGGCUUAGAUACCCUGGUAGUCCACGCCGUAAACGGUGGGCACUAGGUGUGGGGGACAUUCCACGUUCUCCGUGCCGAAACUAACGCAUUAAGUGCC
rnacentral:rRNA from 1 species